rnacentral:rRNA from 1 species
UCGAGGAUCUUCGGCAAUGGGCGCAAGCCUGACCGAGCGACGCCGCGUGUGCGAUGAAGGCCUUCGGGUUGUAAAGCACUGUCGAGGGGGAGAAAGGUCCGCAAGGGCUUGAUCUAUCCCUGGAGGAAGCACGGGCUAAGUUCGUGCCAGCAGCCGCGGUAAGACGAACCGUGCGAACGUUGUUCGGAAUCACUGGGCUUAAAGGGCGCGUAGGCGGUCCAUCAAGUCUGGGGUGAAAUCUUUCGGCUUAACCGGAAAAGUGCCUGAGAUACUGAUGGACUUGAGCGAGAUAGGGGGAGCUGGAACUUCCAGUGGAGCGGUGAAAUGCGUUGAUAUUGGAAGGAACUCCGGUGGCGAAAGCGAGCUCCUGGAUCUCUUCUGACGCUGAGGCGCGAAAGCUAGGGGAGCAAACGGGAUUAGAUACCCCCGUAGUCC